rnacentral:rRNA from 1 species
UACGAAGGGGCUAGCGUUGUUCGGAAUUACUGGGCGUAAAGCGCACGUAGGCGGCUUUGUAAGUAAGAGGUGAAAGCCCAGAGCUCAACUCUGGAAUUGCCUUUUAGACUGCAUCGCUUGAAUCAUGGAGAGGUCAGUGGAAUUCCGAGUGUAGAGGUGAAAUUCGUAGAUAUUCGGAAGAACACCAGUGGCGAAGGCGGCUGACUGGACAUGUAUUGACGCUGAGGUGCGAAAGCGUGGGGAGCAAACAGG